rnacentral:rRNA from 1 species
UACGGGGGGAGCAAGCGUUGUUCGGAUUUACGUGGCGUAAAGGGCGCGUAGGCGGCCACCGCAAGUCGGUUGUGAAAUCUCUGGGCUUAACCCAGAAAGGUCAACCGAUACUGCGGGGCUAGAGUGCAGAAGGGGCAACUGGAAUUCUCGGUGUAGCGGUGAAAUGCGUAGAUAUCGAGAGGAACACCUGCGGCGAAGGCGGGUUGCUGGGCUGACACUGACGCUGAAGCGCGAAAGCUAGGGGAGCGAACGGG